rnacentral:lncRNA from 1 species
GACAUCAGUAUAAUAAGCCCAACGGGAGAAUGAUAUGGCAAUUUCUAAAUUUCCUAGAAGGAUCGCUCAGGAGGAUGGGCUUGAGCAGGCUGCCUUCCAUGUCACACCACCACUGGGCACAUUUUGUUUUUUGGCAACUGCCCCAACAGGGUCACAUCUUGUUUGGCAUUUUAAUUCCUCAUGCAUCAGUGGCAACAUCAAAGGUCACAGAAAGGAUUAUUUCACACUUUAAGAGAAAGUGACUCAGGGUUGUUGGAAGGGGUGCCUGGUCCCCGGGCCAUGGACUGGUACCAGUUUGCGGACUGUUACGAACUGGGCGGCACAGCAGGAGGCAAGAGGCAGGUGAGUGAGCAUUCCCACCUGAGCUCCCCCUCUUGUCAGAUCAGCCUUGGCAUUCGAUUCUCAUAGAAGAGUGAACCCUAUUAUGAACUGCGCAGGCAAGGGAUCUAGGUGGUGCAUUCCUUAUGAGAACCUAAUGUCUGAUAAUCUGAGAUGGAACAGUUUCAUCCCCAAACCAACCCUGCUGGCCUGUGGAAAAAUUGUCUCCCAUGAAACCAGUCCCUGGUGCCAAAAAGGUUGGGGACCACUGGUCUGUAAUUUGUAAUAUUGAGAGAAAUUGGGGAAAACAAAGAUUUUUCAGAAUCCAAAGUGUAAACUGAUCUAGUGUAAAAGAUUUAUAGCAAAUAACAGACCCAAAAGCCUUAGUUUAAGGCCAGUAAGAAAUCAAAAUCAUAAGAAGAAUGAGGCUAGGGUAAACCCAACCCAGGAAAAUAGCUCUGAGUAGACGCUAAAAGGAAUUUGACUUGAGAGGCAGAUAUGGAAACACUUCUCUACCAUGAUCUAAGGAUCUGAAAUGAGCAACUCAAUUUUCCUGGUGAAAAUAUUCAAACUCCAUCGUUUGCAAUUCAGUUCCCUUUAUGAGAUGGCCCAACCUCUGUUUGUUUCCUAGUCACUUCUUUCAUAGCCAGUGUGUAUCCAAUGAGUAGACCUAUGGGCCACUCUUGUCUGUGCUUUCCUGCUGCCAUGGUGACAUGAGUUUUGAAUUUCUCUUUACCUAGAUUACCUACACCUCCACUUUGAAAAUAAACACACUGCUCAUAUUUGACCAAAUGGAUCAGUUUGUCCAUAAAAUUUCCUCUGAUUCCCUCAGCUGGAAGUACUCUUUCUUUCUAAAUCCUAAAUUCAUGCUAAGUACCUCAUCUGGUCGCUUAACGCAUUCUGUUUUGGUUUCAACUGUUGAUGCAUUCUUUUACUACGCUGUAAACCCUUAAGAGAUAACAUAUAUUUUAUUGUUCAUAGGCAAGCCAACCUUGCUGAUAAAUAUUCACAGAAUAAUUAAGAUUAC